AGAACUUAGCAGAGAUGCUUUGGUGCCUUCGGGAACUCUGAGACAGGUGCUGCAUGGCUGUCGUCAGCUCGUGUUGUGAAAUGUUGGGUUAAGUCCCGCAACGAGCGCAACCCUUAUCCUUUGUUGCCAGCGGUUAGGCCGGGAACUCAAAGGAGACUGCCAGUGAUAAACUGGAGGAAGGUGGGGAUGACGUCAAGUCAUCAUGGCCCUUACGAGUAGGGCUACACACGUGCUACAAUGGCGCAUACAAAGAGAAGCGACCUCGCGAGAGCAAGCGGACCUCAUAAAGUGCGUCGUAGUCCGGAUUGGAGUCUGCAACUCGACUCCAUGAAGUCGGAAUCGCUAGUAAUCGUGGAUCAGAAUGCCACGGUGAAUACGUUCCCGGGCCUUGUACACACCGCCCGUCACACCAUGGGAGUGGGUUGCAAAAGAAGUAGGUAGCUUAACCUUCGGGAGGGCGCUUACCACUUUGCGAUUCAUGACUGGGGUGAAGUCGUAACAAGGUAAGCGUAGUGCU
rnacentral:rRNA from 1 species